AUGGUGAAACUGACACGUCCGGGACACCACAACAACAAAGAAUUGACUGCAAACAGCGAUGUCCCUCGGACAUCAUUUUACGUACGAUACAACAGUGGAAUAUGUCUAGAUGAUCUCUGUUAUCACGCUGCUCACCUCCGUUUGGAACACUCCUCACCUCCGUUUGGAACACUCCUCACCUCCGUUUGGAACACUCCUCACCUCCGUUGGGAACACUCCUCACCUCCGUUGGGAACACUCCUCACCUCCGUUUGGAACACUCCUCACCUCACCUCCGUUUGGAACACUCCUCACCUCCGUUUGGAACACUCCUCACCUCCGUUUCGUCAACAAAACCACAACAAUAACAAAGGCCGGGGGAGAAGAGUGGCACUGUUUUGAGGAGUUGUUUUCUUACAAGUCAGAUGUGUUACAGUAAGUCUUGUAGUUUUUAAUUGUGUUGUUUGUUAAUGAACCACAAGCUUAAACCAACUGUCUGUCUCAUGUAAAUUUGAUGCACCAUGGGCCCACAACUUUCUGAAUUUGAAGUUGUGCUGUUAUCUAUUUGCUGAAUUCUCACACAUGCUUUUGUUGAGUCUUCUGGCAUAGUUUUGUUAUUCAUAUUUUGGAAGCUCCCCUCUCCUCCUAGCCUAGCUUGGUCGCCACUGUGUUUUUUAUUUGUUGUCAUGGUGCUAAGCCCAUCACAGUUGUCUGGGCAACAUGUAUCGUUCCUCAUGAAAAGCCAAUAAAUGUCAUGUAACGACGGAUCCGUCUAAAAACAGGAAGCCCGUGCCAAGAAAGAGUGCCACUGGUGUUAGGGACGCCAUGUUGCGUUAUGUCUCAUAUCAGGCCCCUUUCAUUAAACCCUCCCGGGUCAAGUGUUAGUGUGUGUGUGCCUGUGUGUGCGUGUUACAGGGGCACGCUAACCCCAACACUGUGUCAACGAGUACAUUCACCCUCCUCUCGCUUCUCCCCUCACUAUUCUGCUGUAGGUGUGUCACAUUUUACCCGCGGUCCACCCUCCCGGAGCCUCUUUAAUGUGACUAUAUUUACCCAACAGUCUGUUAGGCAGGGCUAAAACAGAAGAGUGGAUGUAUUUAACAUUAGUUUAACUUAAUCAGACAUGUUCUUUUAGGCAGGCAUUAUUUUUUGCUUCUCAGGGAGGUGAAGCCGUAGCCUGUUAGAAAGGUGUUCUCUAUCUCAGGUCUUUGUUAAAAGAAGGAUGUAUUUGUAAUGUACUUUUUUGUAUCAUGAUUUAUUUGUGUGUGCGGGAGGAUAUAUGCUCAGUUUAAUACUUUUACAAUUCAAAGCUUUCUUACUUAAUAUCUACUCUAGAAAAUAAAAGAGCCAUCUAGAAAGGCAUCAAAAGUUUGUAUUAUCAUCUCUGAACUAAUACCUGUGAGUUAAACUUUAAAAUGAAAGGACAAUUAUUUCAUCUAAAACACACUUUCAGUCCCAAACCACAAUCUGGGCUCAACCAUAGCCUUCGUCUAGGGGUGCUGGCUCCCUCCCUCGCUCCGCAUUACAAAAGCCCCAAUUUCAGAUAUUCUCUUUCUCGUGGGCAUUCUCCUUCAUAUUUAUUGUGUGAAUCAGAAUUUAUGAUGAGUAAAUUGGAGUUCUUCAUGUGUAGUGCCGGGGGGUUAGCUGUGUACGCCCGGGCCAGGAUGGGAAGGCCUGCCUUAUUGAUUACAGAGAGAAAGGGCCCUAUGGGUGCCCCGUUUCAAAGAGAAGGCGAGCUCCCACCACGUAACUUCUGAGAAUGAAUUUGCCCCGGCAUGAGGCUUCAUGAGAAACACAUGUCCACACACAGCCUGCAGGUAACGGGAUCACACUGCAAAACACACACACACACACACACACACACUGCUCCAGGUAACAGGAUCACACUCCUCGUCUGAUGAAAGAAGACUGGGCCAUCUAUAGAUGUUGGAUUUAAUUUGAGCCAGAUUGCUACAACAGAAAAAUAAUCUGGUAGCUACAGGUAAUUAUUAUGUGGAUUAUAAUUCAUGGACAUUUUUGUCGGUGUUGAUACAGUCGAAAUUACAAACUUCAGAAGCCUUUUUAACCUCAAAAACACUACAAGCUUUACAUUUCCUGCACUGCAGGAAAGUCUUCCUGCAACAGGGUAAUCAAAUGAAUAUCCUCAAUCUGUAUCCAUCCACAUCAAUACACACACGCUACCAUGAAAUAAAAAGGAAUAAAAACAUCACUGUCACAUAUAAACCUUCAUUCAUAAGCAAAAUACGCUCCUCUUCCAAAAUAGAUCAUCCACUUUCUACAACCAUAAAACAAAAAGUUAUAAAACCUUUACUCAUCCCACAAACAAUAAUCUUUGAAAUGUAAUGAUACACACAAAUCCAAGAGUCCGUUUAGUUGAUAUAUUAAUACAAUCUAAUUUAUGUGAAGUAUAUUCAAUAUAAUAUGUAAUAUGCUCAAUAUGAUACAGUUGUCAUUAAAGCUUGUUUUUCAACCACUCCACAAAUUCCUUGUUUUGGCAAGUCGGUUAGGACAUCUACUUUGUGCAUGACACAAGUCACUUUUCCAACAAUUGUUUACAGACAGAUUAUUUCACUUAUAAUUCACUGUAUCACAAUUCCAGCGGGUCUGAAGUUUGCACACACUAAGAGGACAUUUCUCCAAAAAGCAACAUCUUUGUCCCCUUGUACAGUUGCAAACAGUAGUCUGGCUUUUUUAUGGCGGUUUUGAAGCAGUGGCUCCUUCCUUGCUGAGUGGCCUUUCAGGUUAUGUCGAUAUAGGACUCGUUUUACUGUGGAUAUAGAUACUUUGUACCUGUUUCCUCCAGCAUCUUCACAAGGUCCUUUGCUGUUGUUCUCGGAAUGAUUUGCACUUUUCACACCAAAGUCCGUUCAUCUCUAGGAGACAGAACGCGUCUCCUUCCUGAGCGGUAUGACGGCUGCGUGGUCCCAUGGUGUUUAUACUUGUGUACUAUUGUUUGUACAGAUAAUUGUGGUACCUUCAGGCAAAUAUAAAUUGUUCCCAAUGAUGAACCAGACUUGUGGAGGUCUACAAUUUUUCUCUGAGGUCUUGGCUGAUUUCUUUUGAUUUUCCCAUUUUCCCAUGAUGUCAAGCUAAGAAGCACUGAGUUUGAAGGUAGGCCUUGAAGGUGAGUUAUAAGUGAAAUAAUCUGUCUGUAAACAAUUGUUGGAAAAUUGACUUGUGUCAUGCACAAAGUAGAUGUCCUAACCGACUUGCCAAAACUCUACUUUGUUAACAAGAUAUUUGUGGAGUGGUUGAAAAACAAGUUUUAAUGAUGCCAAACUUCCGACUUCAACUGUAUGUCGUAAAUCAGCAACAGUGAAGUCAGAAAGGUUUUGGUGGCUCCAACUGAGACACGUGAGAAGGUUUCUGUGUGUUGUAUUAUGGGAUGUCCAGUACUUAGGGACUGUUCUCAUAUUACUGGUCCAACACCCGCGCUAAUACAUCACCAUGACUCAAGACUGACAACACAUCUGCCUGCCAACACAUCUGCCUGCCAACUGAGUUAGGGAGCGGACAACAGGACAGAAAGAGGGACAGAGAGAGAGACAGAGAGAGGGGAAGAGAGAAAGAGAAGGAGGGAGAGAGGAAGUGAAAGAGGGGAGAGAUAGGCUGGGAAAGAGCGUGCAAACACUGCUAAUGUUAAGACUAUUGGAAGGAUUAUAUGUUAUUCGUUUCUCCCCCAUCCUCCAGUCUUUGCCAUCUUCUGGACAACCGGCCUAAUGAUUCUGUCUGUCUGUCUGGCUGGCUGUAUGGCUGUCCGCUGAGGCUACUGGAUAUAUGUACAGACAGUAUACAUGUCUGUU
rnacentral:lncRNA from 13 species